UUAGUUUUGUUUCAUGUGACAGAGGAUAUCUAAAUAUGAGAGCAUCACAAUGAUUCUUUUUCAUUCCUUUACUCUGUCCCUGCUCCUGUUGCAGAGAGAUCAGGUUCCGAACCUGACUUCAGACUACUGUGCAGAGCAACCUAGAGACUUGACAGAAAUUUGAAUGAGUGAGUUGCUUCACGGAUCUGGCUAAAAUGCCUGAUGUAAUUAUAGUGAGAGGAGGAAGUAUAAGCAAAUUCUCACCCUCUAUCUUACUUGUAGCUGGCAGCUGCAUUCAUGAUCCCAUCAAUUCGGACAAUAUUGCCAGCACCACUGGCAGAAAUGCAGACCCUACACCAUGUUUGCAGAGAAAGUGUUUACUACGGAGGUACAGUGAGAGAAAACCAGUCCACAAUAGAGGCACACUGCUUAUCAGGAAAGUAACAAUAACAUAACUUUAUUCAUGCAUGGUAACAAAGUAACAAUUUUAAUGGAAAAGACUACUACCAAAGAGGGUGGGAUCAAACAGUGAGUGACAUCAUCUUCAUUUCCACCAUGUUUCACAGAAUGCCACAAGCACUCAUUCUUCCAUCUCUCUUCUUCUCACAUAUAUCGUUGAUGAUUGGACCCAAAAACUUCAAACUUGGAUUUGUCACUCCAUAAUACUCUUUUCCACUGAUGUUCAUUCCAAUCUUUGUGAGCUUUAGCAUAUUUUAGCCUUUUCACCCUGUUCCCCUUCCGAAAAAUGUGGUUUCUUGGCUGCUACCCUUCCACAAAGACCAUUCUUGAUCAAGCUUCUUCGGACUGUAGAAGGGUCAACUUGGCAUCCCGAUGAAGCUGCCAGAUACUCAGCCAGGUCCUUGCUAGACUUCUUCCGGUCUCUCAAAGAAGAAACUCUGAGAAACUUCUCAUCAGAUUUUGAACGUUUUCUUGGCCUUCCAGUCCUGUUUUUGUCCUUGACCUCUCCUGAUUCUUUAAAUUUCUUUAUUACAGCUUGAAUACCACAUCUUAAGUAUCCAGUUUGUUUGCUGAUUUCCCUUUGAGAGUGGCCUUGCUGAUGCAAAAGUAUGAUUUUAUGUCUGUCAAAUCCUGUGACCGUUGGCAUUUUGAAUGGAAUGAUGUGAUUGAAAGUUGGUCUUAUCAGCAAGCGUCUAAUGAAUUAAACUUAUACCACAUGUGUAUGUAAUGCUCAAGCAUGUCUUGCACAAACCUUUUUCACAGAAGUCGUUUUGACAGGAAAUAGUAGGACAAAUAUUUGUGUUAGCAAUGAUAUUAUAUUAAUUAGGGUUCCAUUCUAUUUAGGUUUACGAGAGCCAGGUUUCUGCUAUUGUUCAAGUGUAAGAGGAGGUCACAUUAAAUACUAUUAUUUUAUCUGUUUUUUAAUACUGCAUACACAUAUCCUGUAUUUUCUGGUUGUACUCUAAUAAAGAGACUGAGAAAUAA